rnacentral:rRNA from 1 species
UCAGGCCUAACACAUGCAAGUCGAACGCAUUUUGUCUUUCGGGACGAGGUGAGUGGCGCACGGGUGAGUAACACGUGGGAACGUACCCUUUGGUCCGGAAUAACGUCUGGAAACGGACGCUAAUACCGGAUGAGCCCUGUGGGGGAAAGAUUUAUCGCCAAAGGAGCGGCCCGCGUCUGAUUAGGUAGUUGGUGGGGUAACGGCCUACCAAGCCGACGAUCAGUAGCUGGUCUGAGAGGAUGAUCAGCCACCCUGGGACUGAGACAC